GAAGAAAAAAAAUCCCUUCAGAGAUCAGUCUUUAUGGGAGUAGAGCAAAAACUUGUUUUUGAGCUGAAGUUUCUAUAAUGACAGUCUGUCAGGCCAUCGAUCAGAAUGUAACAGGGACACAGGGAGAGGUGUGUCUCCAUCGAUCCACACCAAAGGGUGUUAAUUUGACUCUUUUUGAAGUGUUGUAUGUUAACAUUCCCACAGUGUUAUUGUUGACUCUUAUAGUUAAAAUUUAACACAUCUCAACAUUAACCAGUGUCAGUCUUUCUCAACACUAGUUUAUAGUGUUUGAUAUCAACUCACUCUUAGUGUCAGUUGUUAACUACUACAGGUGUUUACUCCAUAUUUACACUGUAUGGUGUAAAUAUUUGUUACGGUUACACAUUAUAUGUAAAAUAAACUAUGAUAAAAUAACGAGACCAUGUUAAGCUUAAAAAUAAUUUCAAAUAUAAAACACAAAUACAUUUAAAUCAUACAAUUGUUACAAAACAUUAGACGCCACUUUACAUCAAACUUUCCAGAUACUUUGUUCCCAAACAUCAAUUAAAAUGAGAGAGGAUGAGUCCUGUAGCUCCUACAGCAGGUGUUGAACUGUCUCUAGUCUCCACACAAGAUUGUUCUCAGGGUCAUAGUAGAGUUUCUGCUAGAACAAACUCAUACAAACAGAAACAAACACAAAAAAGGUUUUAACAAGGUUCCAGAGGUACCAGGACACAGCAGCCUGCAGUAGGGCAGUGAAGUUGUACCCAGCUAACUUUACCACUAUCACUGUCUGGUUAGUCUCAACUUGGUGAGAAACACCACCACAGGACAGAGGACUCAGUGUGGAGCUGGGUGGGGAAAACCAGCUGGUUCUUCCUGUGACAUCAGCUACAUCCACCCAUCAGACAGUGGAGUUUACUGGUGUGAGUCCAGAGAGGGAGCAACCAGUAACAGCAUCAACCUCACUGUCUCUGGACACCGGCGCCGAUUGGAUUAAAUGGCAUCGACAGCAGCGGACUAAUAAUAUUAUAUAUAUAUAUAUGUAUAUAUAUAUAUAUAGAUAGAUAGAUAGAUAGAUAGAUAGAUAUAGAUAUAUAUAUAUAAUUAUAUUAAUAUAAUUUAAAAGACUUUUUUUUUUUUUUGGAUGUACUAUAUUGAUCCCCGAGGGGAAAUUCUGUCCUGCUGUUUGACCCAUCCAUUUGUUCACACACAGUAAUAUGUAAGUUUCUUCAUUAAAUGGUAUUUUUUCCUGGAUAUACGUAAUAUAAAACGAGGGCUUAUUUCUGUUAAUUAAAUGAGGGACCCCAUAUAUCCAAGACGGAUUUUUGUGUGUUUUUUUCUAUGGGUUUAAGGACAAAGUGUGGGUUAGACUUUCUGUAUAAUUUUCAUUUCACUUAAAGGGGAAUAAUAAGCCUGAAAAGAUCUCUCUUGUGUGUAAGUAACUUCAACUCGAAAAGGUGAAUUGUUACAAGGGAGCUCCAUAAAGUAGCUGAGGAGCCCUGACAGUAAAAGCUCUCUAGUCUACUUUUGAUCUUGGCUCAGAAUUAGGAACAGCUCAAUGUUAGAAAUUAGGCUGGACUCAAGCUUUAAAAGUUAACAGUAAAAUCUUUUUAGAAUGUUUUAGGGUGUCAUGUCUCCUGAUGUUUGUUUUGUCAUUUCUGGUCAGCGUUUCCUAUUUAAUUUUGUCUGACUCUCCUCUCGUUACAGAUCACUUCCUGUCAAGUUUCCCUCCUGUGUGAUUACCUGCCCCGCCCUAAACUGUUGCACCUGUGUCUCAUUUUUUCCCCUCUCCAAGUCUUUAGUCCAUGUGCUCUCUGCUGUCUGUGCCAGUUUGUCUUUUUUCAAGUGUUCCAGCUCUUUCAUUCAGAUUGUCUUUGUGUUUUUUGUCUUUUUCCUCUGCCUUGCUCCUUUUUGCUCAGUCUGCCUUCUCCACCUGAAUUCCAUGUACUGAACCUCCUGCUUUCUGAGUAAAGACACUGUUUUUGGAAAAUAC